CAACCAAAGAGUUAGGUUUGCAAUUUCUACUUUCGUUUUCUAAAGUUAACGAAAUACCUGGAAAAUUACACAAGGACGCGUAUUCAGGCUAUAUAAGGAAGGCGUCCGUUCCCACUAAACCAGUAUAACAAGACAGACCGUGAAGAUUUAUAGCAAUUUGAUUUACAGUGGUAAUCAGUGUGAAUUGAUUGACGAAAAAGAAACAGAUAGAAAUAAAACCGGAUACACAGAGUUAACAAAAAUAGUUCUUAGACUCACAAUGGAUCAUCUUGGACAUUAUGCUGGCACUGGUACCAAAGCUGACCUGGACAACCACGCCAACCAAUUAAAUCCAAAUCACGCCGAAUAUAAAAAGCCGAAUCACGCCGAAUAUAAAAAGCCGAAUCACGCCGAAUAUAAAAAGCCGAAAACGAAAAAAUAAUAAUUUAGUGUCCAUUCAAAAUAUUAUAUUUAUGAACAUAUAUGUAUAAUUAAUUUGAAUACUAAACACUAAAAAUAUAA